GCCCGCCCCGAGGUGGGCCGUGCGCGGUGCUGCUGCUCGGGUUGUGGGCUCAGUUGGGCGGGCGGGGUUGUGAGGUGUUCAGCCGGCCUGAGGGAGAAAGGGGGAUUUCCCAAGUUAACGCGCUUUUUAAGUGUGGAAGCACAGAGGUGAAGGGGCGUCACGAGGCGGUGUGAAGAGUUUGUGGAAGGGUUGAUCCAAAUCUCACUGUAUCCCUCUCCAAGAUGAUCGGGCCCAGUGCUGGCAGGACCUGCAGCAGACUGGGGGAUUGCAGCAUACAUGUGUGAGGACUUCCUGCACCAGGGGCACCCCAGGGGAGUGCAGAGACCCACUGGGAGCUGGCGGUUCUGGUGAGAAGAACUGAGAAGACUCCAGUGGGGCCAGGAGCAGUGGCCAUCGUUCUCUGCGUGUGCAGAAGACAGCCCCAGGGACUGUGGCGAUCGGCACAUAGCGGGUCUGAUAGAGCCAAACAACUUUUAUCUAAUUCUGCUCAUUCAAGCUGGAUCACAGAAGGCUUUAACAAGGAGACUGAAAAACAUUAAAAGGGACUUUACAUCUCUUGGAAGGAUGUAGAAGAGAUUGGGAGUGUAAGUAGUGUUGUCCUCUGUCCUUCUGAUGGAGGCUGGCACCUGGGAAGGAGGAGAACAGGACAAGCGAAUGAUUGGCUGUGUGGAUGGUGCUAUACAUGGGGCUGUGGCUUCCAUGAUCUUCGACAGGCCUUUGAGGUGCUGAGCAUGUUGACUUCAAAUGAGACACAACUGACUGGGUGGGACAAGAAUGUUCUGGGAAACAAGCUGUCUGGGCUGAUCAGCAGAACUUAAAACUAGAUUCGAUGGGGAAAGGAGGUGGAUUUCAAAAUGACAAAGGAAGACUGGGGAACGCUGUCACUUUAGGAGGCAGUGGAGAUGGACUUCAGAUUUGUCCCCAGGGAACUCAGGAGGGCUCCCUGAAGAAGCUAAUACUGCUGAUUGUCUGGAUGAUGUGCCUCUAUACCAAUGCCAGCAGCAUGGGAAAUAAUCAGGAGGAGCUGGAAGACAUGGCACAACGGAAAAACUUACCUAGUUGCUAUCAAGGAAAUGUGGAAUGAAUUGCACAGCUGGAGCACAGUGAUCAAGGCCUGCAAGCUUUUUAGGGGAAAUACAGAGGGAUGGAGGGGCAGGGGAGUUGCUCUCUGCGUUAAGAAGUGGAUAGAUUGCAAAGAGCUGCCUUUGAAAAACAGCCAUGAUCAGAUGGAGAGCUUGUGGGCAACAGCAGGAACUGGUCCAUUGAAGGCCAUCUGGUGAUUGGGGUCUACUACAGGUUGCCUGAUCAAGGGGAGCUUGAGCACAAGGCCUUCUUGCUACAAAAGGCUCUCAUCCUGAUGGGAGAUUUCAACCACUCAGAUGUCUGCUGGGGAAACAACAUGAUGGGCUGCAAGUGAUUCAGGAGACUCCUGAAGUGCAUGGAUGAAUAUCAGGGACUGGUCCAACAAAGGACAUCUGAUGUUAAGGGGUCUACUGCAGGCUGUGUGAUCAAGGGUAGCCUGUGGAUAAGGCCUUCUUGCUUCAGAUACAGGAAGCAUUGUAUUCACAGGCUUUCAUCCUCAUGGGGAAUUUCAGCCAUCCAGAUGUCUGCUGGGAAAGAAGCACAGUGGGUUGCAGACAAUCCAGGAGACUCUUGAAGUGUGUUGAUGAUAACUUCCUGGUCCGGGUAUUAUACAAAUUGACCUGAGGGGAAGCAUUAAUAGAUCUGGUGCUCACCAGUGUAGAGGAGAUCAUUGAGGAGGUUAAGAUAGAAGGCAGUCUGGGCUAUAUUGACCAUGCCUUGGUUGAAUUUGUGAUCUUGAGGAAUAUGGGCCUGGAGAAAAGCAAACUCAGGGCCUGAACUUGAGGAGAGUGAACUUCUGGCAGUUUAAGGAAUUGUUAGAUGAGAUCCCUUGGAAAGCUGUUGGAGUAGAGCUGGCAGCUCUUUUAAGGACACGUUUUUGAAAUCACAAGAACUCAGUAUAGGAAAACAAGCAGAGAAAGCAGGAGACUGGUAGGGCUAAGCAAGGACCUACUGGUCAAACUAAGGGAAAACAGGAACUCUCUCUUGAACUGUCUUUCUUGAACAGGGGUGCCAAAAUCUGCACACAGUACUGCAGAAUUGGCCUCACCAGAGCAGAGUAGAGGGGGAGGAUCACCUCCCUUGACCUGCUCACCACACUCUUUUUAAAGCACCCCAGGAUACUGUUAGCCUUCUGUGUCACAAGGGCACACUGCUGGACUAUGAUCAAGCUGCUGUUCACCAGUACACUCACAUCCUUCUCUGCAGAGUUCCUUUCUAUCAGAUCAGCCCCUAAUCUGUACUAGUGUGUAGAGUUAUUUCUCCCCAUGUGUAGGACUCUACACUUGCCCUUGUUGAACCUCAUAAGGUUCCUUUCUGCACAACUGUCCAGCCUGUCCAGGUCUCACAGAAUAGCAACACAGCCUUCUGGUGUAUCAGCCACUCCUAGCUUUGUAUCACCAGCAAACUUGCUGAGGGUGCACUUUAUCCCUUCAUCUAUGUCCCUUAUGAAGAUGUUAAACAAGACCAGAUGCAGUUCUGACUCCCGGGGAACACUGUUAGCUACAGGUUUCCAACUAAGACUCUGUCACUGAUCACAACUCUCUGAGCUGUACCAGUAAGCCAGUUCUCAAUCCACCUCACUGUCCAUUCAUCUGUCCCACAGUUCCUAAGCUUACCUAUGAGGAUGUAGUGGAAGACAGCAUCAAAAGCCUCGAUGAUGUCAAAGUUGACAACAUCCGGUGUUCUCUGCUCAUCUAUCCAGCUGGUCAUGGCAUCAUAUAAGGCUACCAGACUGAUCAAGCAUAAUUUCCCCUUGGAGAAUCCAUGCUCACUACUCCCGAUGACUUUCUUCUCUUCCACUUAGAAAGGCUUGGAUUCCAUGCUUGAAGAUGACAUCCAGAAUAGCCAAGAACAACUGAGCAGAGAGCGGCAUUUCUGGGAAGAGGCAUCAGGUGCCCAUGGAUUUCAGUUCAAUCAUGAUAGUAAACUGAUCCAUAGAGGCUUGCAGAAAAUUUCAGAAUUGGCAUUUGAGGAAGUGAGGAAAGAAGGGAGCUGUCUGUAUGUAUAAACUACAACAGAUACGAAGAGCUUGAUUCUCAAGAUAAUUCCUCUUCACUUGAUGAAUCCCAGGCAAGCCAAAAGGUUGGACAACCAAGAUGCAACAUCACUGAAGUCAAGUGAGAACAGGACACUGCUGAAGUAAUUACGAAGAAUUUGCCUACUCCAUCUUGACCGUCUGAGGGCAGUGUCACCUAAUAAUUGCUAAAGGAGAUAUGCCUGGUCACUGCAUACUGUCUGCACUGCAUUCACCCUCUGAAGAUGCCAUCCAAAACUCAGAGAUAUCAAAGAGAGCCUUUUCACAGAUCUUACCUGCAUCUUGGACUUUGGUAUAUUGGGCUCACUCUUCUGGGCCACAGUGCUUACUGAUAUAAACCUUUACUGGCACUGAAUCCAGUUUGAGAUAUAGAUCUGAAACAAGAUGCGACCAUGAAAGACCUCUCACACAAGUCCAGUGUAGGUUUCUACAAAAUGAGGUUGAAAGUAAAUGAUCUUUAUAUUCCCGUCCAACCUAAACUGUUUCAUGACCCUGUAAAAUGCUUUUUGCAUGAAGCUAUUUAUGCCUGGCUAGAACAUGACUGACAUGACUAUCCAGUUGUGUUCUAAGGACUUCAAGAGAUAAAGAACCUACAGCAGACUGGUAAGCUGUUCCAUGGGCAAUCAAGCUCCCUGUCAAGAACAUCCACCUUGCCCUAGGUAUGUUAAGCAGUUAUUCCACCUGGAACUGUUCUGCCUGGAGAACAGAAGGUUGAGAAGAGAUCACAUCACUGUUUAUAACUACCUGAAGUGUGGGAGUGAAGUCGAGGAAGAAUGACUCUUUUCAGUGGUGCACUGUGAAAGAGCAAAGGGCAACAAGUGAAGACUGGGACACAGAAAGCUCCAUACAAACACAAGGAAAAGCUUCUUUACUGUGAGAAUGACAGAGCACUGGAACAGGCUGCUCAGGGAGACUGUGGACUCUCCUUCGCUGAAGAUGUUCAGAACCUGCCUGGACACUUCCCUGUGCAACCCUACAGGAGAGAACCUGCUUUAGCAGGGGGUGAGACUAGAUCAUCUCCAAAGGUUCUUUUCAGUCCCCACAGUUAUGUGAUUCUGUGAUUCUGUGAUAAGCUCCUCUUUAAACUGUAGUAGGAACCAUUGUGAUAUGAGUUCUGGUGGGAAAUGUCAUAACAAGUUGAUUUUGAGGAUACAAAAAAAAAAAAAAAAAAAAAAGAAAAGAAGAGAAAAAGGAAUGAAAAAGAAAAAUCUCUUGAUUCUUCUCUAGGAGCAAAGGUACUUUGCAGCAAAGAUCUUGAUUUGUAUCAAAAAUUAGGUAAAGGGAAAAAGAUAGAUUUGGCAGAGAGCUGUUAAGAGCUCAAAAGCAAUGAUGGUUAGCACAGUAACCCCAGUGUGGUAGUGCUGAUCAUUCUGAACCUGUUAUCAACUUGAAGCAUUAAAUGUAAAAGAUUUUCCAGAUGACUAGUGUUGGGGAAGCUGGACAUUGUCAGAAGUACAGUGGUAAAUACAGAUGGGUGGAAACAUUCAGAUACAAACAAUUAAUCAUCAGUCCCUCAGAUAAGCGCUAGUCUUCAGGCACUGGUAACUAGCACUGAGCAGUCAGGUCAAUCCCAAACCCACUGGAGAACAAUUUUGGAAAUAUAGAAAGCUGGAAAUUUGGUGUCUGGUGAGUGGGAAGUUGGCUCAACUCCUUCUCCUCUUUCAUGCAUUUUUAAAAAUCAUGUGAAAACGCUUGCAAUAAUGAACCAAGAUCAGAAACAUCUGGUUUCAGCAGAAGUGAGGGAGUUGUGCCACUUUGUCCAGAACAGUUACUAAACUACAACUCAUCCUGCAAGUCCCCUUUAAAAUCCACUGGAUUUCCCCCCUGCUAUAGAUUCCUCUCUGGGGAGCCUUCCAGCCACUGCUCAUUUUGGCAUGCAGUUCUCCUGUCUGCUCACUUUCCCUGUCCAGUCUUUCUUCUCUCCGGCCCAAGCCACCUACAAGCUCCUGUGAGGAAAGGGCUAACUGCUCAGCCCUGCCCUGCAUGGAAAGAGCUUGCUGGAAGCUGUUCUCCUGAAAGACAGGCACCUAUUGCUUUGUCUCUGCCAGACCUGUAAACACCAGACUGAACACUUUCUCGGGAUGUAUCAGAAGCAACAAACUGACUGUGUGACAGAAACACCCAGGGCCCUGUUUUGAUCUCUGGAGGAGAGCAGGGACCCUUGGAACACAAACAGAGGCCUCGAGGCAGCCCAGGGAUGUGCCUGUCCAGCACCAGGAGCUCUGUGCGUGGGAAUGCAGGGAGGAUUGUGGAGGACUGGUGUAAUUAUAAGAAUUGAUGGGUCUGCGGAGCAUUUUUUGGAAAUUGUACAUGAACUGCUGCAGAUUUUAAUCAGGGUGUCUCUCUUCCUCUCAUUUACCUUCCUCAUGGAGGAGAGGUCUCCUGGCCAUGAUUAAACUUCAGUAAAGCUUUGUAAACCUGCCUUUGGGUCAUGUUUCUUCCUCAGUCACAGCAAGUCCCCUGUCCCUUUUAAAAAACUCAGAUUGUACUGGUUUUUCUUGCUUAGUUUUCCACAUUCUACUGUGUUCAUCUUUUCUCUGCCUUCUCUAACAUCAGUUCUCUCAUGACAGAACCUCUUCUCUCUGUGUGUGUUUAUGGCCCUAUAUCUUCUUCACUUUUGGCUGGAGGGAUGAAGAGCUGCCUGCUGCUUGGACAAAGCAAAAAUUGAAGCUGUUCUCCUUGGGCUUCAUGGCUACUUAGGGCUCUGACUUGCAUGAGCUUCAGCCACUUAGAAAAAGCACUACUUUCAGACUGAAAGCUCAGAAACUGAAGAGUUUUUAACCUCAUUACCUUGAGUAAUGAUCCACACCAGUCAUAAAAAAGGAGAAAGCUGGAGAAAACCUGAGGUGGUGAUAUCCUUAAAGCAGAUGAUUUUAUUUUUUGAAGAAAGAAAAUAAAAAAUGAUGAUGAAACAUUUUCCUGAAGAACAAAUCGAAACACUUCGUGCAGUGUUACCUGUUCACAGAAUAGGAUUUGUGUACCAAGAUGAAUCACUGCACUCUUGGGACUGGAUGACGUUUUUCUUGCAGAUUUUCAUACUGCCUGGAAGAGAAAGAGAAGAAGGUGGAAGCAUGUGAUGGGCAGAGGCCAUUGGCAUGAGAGAGAGCAGGCUGAGACUUCAUGCUGGAGAUGGACAAGACCAAAACAUUUCUCCUGUGUCAGCCAAAGAGAGUUUCAAACCUAAAGCUGUUUGCAGAAUGAAGCCGUGAGCUGGCCAGAUGGAAACAAGACUCCACUGCACGGUACAUGGAAAAAACAAGUUCAUCAUGUUCUGUCUUCACUCUGAGACAUUCUUGGCAACUUCAGCCACAUCCUGGAAAGAGUGGAGGAGAGGAAGAGCAGAGGGGAGCCAGCAGGCAAAUGGGGUUAUGGGGUUUGGUUUGUAAAGUGCUUAGGAAAGCUGUUCAGCUUCAAGGAAAAUAUCUGAUUGCUGAGACAGGGCGUACUGGAUAAUUAUUUUUUGAAUGUCCUCGCCAUUUUUCAGUAUUUUACCACUGUUUUCUUUCUGUAGAGUGCAGCAGCAGUCAUCCUUCCUGGGCAAUAGCAUAAUUGUUUCAGCUAGAACUGUUUUCUUCUUAUGUGGCAGGGAUGUCUACAUAAACAGUUAGGGCACAGAACUGCUUUUAUGACUGCUCUAAUGCCAGAAGGUGAAACACAAUAAACUGAAUUUUCGAUAUUGCAGGUCUUUGUUUUUAUUGUUGUUUUUACAUAUAGUCUCACCAAAAAUAGCUUUGGUUCAUUCGUCAUUUCCUUUUUUGGUUGACACACAGCAUUUAGCUAUUCAGUUCUCUGAUGUUCCAUUAAAUAGCCAGACAAUUUUUAAAAUAAAUGUUCCCUUAGAGUUGCAUAUUUUUCCUUCAUUUCUGGGUCUGGGAAAUAGAAAGAGACCUCAGAAACAGCUGAAGUUUAUUUUAGAAGCUGAAAUAUGUUUGGCAUUCUUUUCUCCUUGUACUACACUAUUGUUUUCUUCAUUUUGUUGUCUCAGAGUUGUUGUCAGAUGUGAUUUUUAAGGGUGUAUUUUGGAUUGUCAGGAUUUUUAAAGCACCUUUUUUUUUUUUGAUCAUAGGAAUCAGAAUCCAUUUACUGCCAUGUGACUAAUGUUCGUCUGCACUGCUGAACUAGACAGUCACUACAAUGUCCGAGCUAAACCAUCCUCUUCUUUCUCUUGUCUCAUUUCUCUGUUGUUUCCCUGCUUGCCUGGGGAGAUUGUGCUUAUGCAGGCUCAGCCUCUGUCUGUCACUUUGGUGACUCUUGAACUACUUAAUUUAAGUCAGUUUCGAAAGUAGUCAGGAGGGAGGUUCUUGCACAUUUCAAGAAAGAAGGUAUAUUAACAGACAGGCACACUGACAGUACUGGCCAAACUCCCAAGUCCUUAUGCACAUCCCAUGCUGAUUCAAGUAUGAAGAACGAAUGCUCUGCUCAGAGCUGGAUCCCACCUUCAUUUGGGGCUGCUGGAGAUGCAACACUGAUGGCCACACAUUUUGCCCUGUGCCAUCAUUGCAGUUACCCUUUCCUACCUUGGGUUGUUGUGACUGCAGAGUAGAAGUGCAGAAGGAGAGGAGCUUUUGGGGAGAAAAAGCGGAACUACACCAGCUGGCAUCAUGAUUGAAUGAGUGACCUCACUGUCCACUGCAUCUGUGCCAGCUUUUGAACCACUGGCAGGCGUAAUGAGCUUCCCUCUUGGAGCAGACAGGUGCCACCUGAAGUAGCUGGAAGAAUCAUUUGACAUUACAAGGAGCUUUUUAAAAAAGGGAAGAGAACGUCUAUCUAGAAAGCUGCUCAGUGUGCAUAUAUAUGAUAGAAAAGAUAGAGCCGGUUUGAAUCAGAACACAACACUAUGCAUACCUUUGGUAUAAGGUCACUAUUACACUAAUACAUCUUCAUGUGAGGCUCAGGUAGCUGGAGUUCACAUACUGGAGGUUACCAAUGCAUCUCAGAACUCGGGAGGGAGUUUUAAAUGGACUCUGAACUCUGCUCCCCCAGGUUCCCUGAUGCAUUUAAAGCAACAUAUCCUUGUGUGAAUGGGUCGUGCUGCUGUGCAACCAUUGGAGUUUGGAAAAGCCGUGCUGAGCUGCAUAAAACCUGGGUGUUUACUUUCCGACUCUGCUGUAUUAGGCACCUCAAUCUGAUGGGCCAGCAGGUUAGGUGGUAUGGAUCCUGCUUUCUUAGUUCAAACAGAUUUUUGCAGGCUAUUAAUAGAUACUGAUGCAAGCAUGCAUCUGCAAUGUGCUCAUAUGCUGUUGCAGGUGUGUGUGGGGGUGCCCGGCUGCACAGACACGAAAGCACUGCUGAAGGCAUUACUGCAGGUUUGGGUGAAAUGUGUGUAAUUACAGGCAAUUUCCUUUGCUGCUCUCAGGUCUAUGCCUUUGCAUGGAUUUAAGGGUCUUAAAAAGCCUCUGAAGUCCUGACAAAAAGCCUCUAAAGUCCUGACAAAAAGCCUCUGAAGUCCUGACUCAUCCCCUGAUCCCAAAGCGUAUUUAAUAAAAGGAAGUCAGUGUACACUUGCACGGCUCCAGGUGCGGCUGGCAGGGUGCUAUCUGCCCAGAAGGUUGUAUUUAUUCCCGAAGAGUAGGAAUAAGCUGUAACGUUUCUACCCAACCAUUUUUCUUAUGUUAGACAUCAUCAGCAAUAAGAACAAGAGGGGCUGAAGAAGCAAUGAGAUGCGAUUAUUUCUGAUAUUCUUGCUGAGGUUUUAUGCUGUGCUUUUUAGUCUUGAUUAUAUACCUCAAGGCAGGAAAACAGUUGAAGCAGAUUUUAUGUAUCAGUUUAGAUUAUUUCCUUGGCCCUAUUACUAUUUUCUUUAGAGAAAAUUAAAAAGGAAAAAGAAUAUUUUUAGGGCCUCUCAUUUUAGCAGGCAGCCCCUCUUACUAAAAUGUUCUUACCUGCUGUGUUUUUUGAAUGUUUGGCAUUUAUUGCUAGAAAUGUUACCAUUUAUUUUUUUAUUCUGAAUCCCUCUUGGUGCAAAACUCAAAGCGCAUCCUAUUUAUUGUACAGUUUUGAACAGAUAUAAACACAGAUUCAUGGUUUCAUAGCUUCAUACGUGAAGCUGAAUGUCAUUUUUCUGAGGAAUGCUCUUUUGUGUAUCACAAGAGUUAAUUUAGCCCUGCCAUUUUUAGUGUGGUUGAGGUACUUCAAUUUGAUAAAUGCGUAAUGGAUUGAGACACUCGCAGACUUUUCCUUCAGUUUUCUGUCAGCUCAUGACCAAAAAGGCAAAAAACAUGACAAAAACAUUAUAAAAAAUAUUUUUCUGGGGUUGGUGGAGUUUUGCUGUUGAAAACCUGGAAUAAUACAUUAUUGAUCAGUUUGGUCUUCAGGAAAUUCUGUAUAUCAAGGGAAAAUAAAAAUGAGAUUUCUCUCACAGGAAUACCAGUUAGACUACUUUGUUAGCAACUUUAGCAUAUAUUGAAAAAGAAAAGUAUGAAUCAACCAGUAGUUCUUUUUAGCUAUAAAGUAAUUUAAUUUUUAUUUAAAAAAAUAUCUUUAUUGGGUCAGUGGAAAAGUAAGACAAAAUAAGAAGUAGAUUGGGACUCAGAUUUAAACUUACAGUAAGAAUAAGCAAUGAAAAAAAGAGAAAAAUAUAAGCUAUGGACCAGAGGCACCCAAACAGGGGCAAACUGCACUUGUGGAAGGCAAUGAUCAGGAAAACCAGAGCAUGAGAGCACUCUGGCCAGCGUAACCUGGAUUUACAGAUUCAUCUCUUACUGAGGUGGGGGGACCUCCUUGUGUUCUGCAUUUCUUACUCCAUAUUCGGUAUAGUAAAGGAUGAAAUAAUUCAAAUGUGUCAGCUUUGGAUUUCUACAGAAUCCCAGUUAUCAGAUAUAAAAUAAAAAACACAGGUGGGAUUACUUAUACAUGACAUUGGCUGAUAGCUCUGUGGCCCACUUCUAUAGAGAGAAAUAUCCGAUUAAAUUGAAAUGUGCUCGGUAGAGAGAAAUGCCUUCCAUUUUCAUCCUUGAAUCAAUCCACUUACACUGAGAAUAAAAGACGUGAAGAAACAAUCCCUAGGUAAAUUACAGCAGCAGAGGUUGAUGCUCUCUUUUUGAUCCUUCACACAGUUGCUGGUUUCCUCUGCACAGCGAACAGCGGCACUUGGGAAGCAGUAAACAGCUCAGGCUGCCUGACAGUAACCUGAGGCUCCAUCCUGCAGAACAGAAAAUGAAAGGGAAUUCAAAGAGAAUGAAGGGUACAGCACAGGGGAAAGCUACUUAGUAAAUGUUUGUAAUUGGGACCAUUCUGGAACGUGCAUAAGCAUGCUAGAAAAUCAAUAUAACCUCUGGGAUCCUCAUCCUUUCAGACAAGAGCUUGAAAAUUCAUUUUGUGCUCAAGAUGUCCCUACCACAAACAUAUCUUUAGAUACGGGAAAAGAGUUGGAAGAGUAUAGAAUAACAGAUGACAAGUACACAAUAGUGAUAAAUGAGAGUGAAAAAAAGAAGCAAUACGAAGAUUGUACUUAAAACCCACACUGUUAAUUGGAAUCAAGUUAUAGUGCUUUCCUUCUUGGAAAAAGAAUAAUAAUUUUUCUUCAGCUUUGGCAGAAGAACAGCAUGCAUAAGAGCAAAUAAUAUUUGAAAGUUGAACAAGCCGACAUGGCACCAAGUGAGAUAAAUGCUUAUCUCAUAAUCAUUAGCUCCUGGCCUAGCAACUGCUUUGCGUUGCCAAAAAUUCAGAGUUGGAGGAGAAUUGCAUAGACUAAAAAUAAUAGUUCCAAGGAGCAGCAUCAGAAAAUAGUUGCAACUGUAUUCUUCUGUGAUCUUUGAAGUAUUAUGAAAACAAAGAAACAAGUAACAUCUCAUUCUGGUGCUUCUAAAUCAUAGUUUUGGAGCGAUAGCUUUUAUUUUUUACUACAGAAGUGGCUAACGCACAUGUUAUUCAUAAACCAAGUGUCUGCUUCUGUUGGAUAGCCUUUUCCAUCAUUACCUGUCUGAACAAAAAAUCCCUGCUGUUCCUAGAAGGGGGGGAAAGUGGUCACAGCAGCUUCUAGACAGCAGAUCAAAAAUACUCUGGACUCCUGCCUCAGCAUGAAGCUGAUCUGCUAUGUUAAGCCAUCUAUUUAGCAAGAUAACCAUCUGUCCAGAGUAGGCUUGGUGAGGUAAUGGUUUUAUUAAUUUCUUAUAAUAAGUAAGAUGAGCAGAUGAGGCUGCCUGUAGCAUUCAGAUAGGAGAAUAUGACCUUUACAAAAUUAUCUGCUUUCAUUUCUGAUGCAAAACAUUAUGUUUUUCAGUGUAUCAGAGGUGUUACUGGGUGAUUUUUGCCAGGGCUUUUAAGUGGGCACGAGAAAACACGAGGGUGAUGAGUCUGAAUUUGUUUUCACGUCUGCAGAUUAGACGUUUUCUAAUCACCAAGGCUGAAGCAAGAGAAAAAUAUCUCCUCCCAACUUGUAUUUCUCUACACUGAAGGUCAGUGAUUGCAGUUCACAUGUUGUUCUAACUUUGCCAGACAAAACAAAACUUUUAUAAAGCUACUUGCUCUUGAUUAGCAUUAGCUUUCCUUGUUUGUUUGUUGCUACCAACUCCGCUUAAAAAUGGUGAUCUUUCUUGUAGCCGAAUUUCCUCCUUAGAUUUCCACUGACUAGUUUUUCCAUUGCACUUCUAUUUGAACACAGAAGGGCCUCUAGGACUCAGCAUUUUCACUACCUAAAGAAGCCACAGGGAAUGUCACUUUGCACACUUCAGUGUGCAAACAAGACUCCUGAAGUCUCCCGGUACUUUUCUUCUUUCAGCCCUGAAAUCAUUUAUACAGCCUUUACCUUCAAUAUAUUGAGAACAUCAGCAUCUUUUUAUAAAUGUGAAUGCCAAAAGUGCACAGAACAGCACUUUGAGCAAUGACUUCUAUAUUCAUGGGGAAAAAAAAAUCAUAGAAAAAAAAAGUAUUUUGGAACAGAUUUUAGCAUAAAUUCCGUCACCAGUAUAACCAAUAGCUAAGUAAUGCAAGUGAAGGAAAAAGAGCUUGUACCUUUAAGAUGCAGUGUUUAUGUGGUAUGAUGAUAAAUCACGAACAGCACCUAUUAUACAUAAAUUGUGGAAAAUGUUGAAAGUGUUGCUACCAAAUAGACUAAAAUAUUUUAUGGGUUAUCUCUUCCUUUUAUGUGCAAAAAGAAGGUCUAAUUACAUUGUCCAUCAACUCUGAGGAUUAUUUCACGGAUAUGUCUGCAGGUCCCUGCAGUCUUCUGUGUGGAACAGACAGUCCAGACAUGCUUGGUAACAUGUAUUUUGUGUAUGUGUGUGUGUGUUCACUUUACCACCAUCACUUAGCCCUGCUGAGCUUUUCAGGUUAAACAAUUUGCCAUUACAUUUUACUCCUCUGCACUUCCACUAGAUUUGCAAAGAUCUGGGAGAUUUGACUAGUGUUAGUCCAUUGCUUGCUAAGCGUUCUCAUCAUCCUCAAAACAUCUGAUUAUUAAGCAAUUACUACCAGCAAUUAACUUAGCUGAAUAAACAAACAAGGGAGGACAGCAUGCAAACUGCUGCCUGUAUGCUUCAGCUCGUGGCACUUCUCCAUUUUGUCUUCUUUCUCCAUCAGAGAUGUGUGCCACAUAUUGUGCUGGGAAAAAAACAAACUCAGAUACAACUGCCCUAGGUGAGAAGCAGGCACUGACAUACACUGAACUUGAGGGAGAGGGAUGUCCACUCAGCCUUUAAAGAUCUCAGCAGGUUGCUCCUGACAGACUGCCUUCUAAAGGAGACUGACCCGAGACGUGUGGCAUCAUUAAAUUGGGAAUGAUGCUGGACAUGCACUGCAACCACACAAGUGAAAGUGUGCGGCAUGCAAGCUACCUGGGGCUCUGCGAACUCCCCUGCCACAGUGCUGCAAGUGGAGCUGGUGAAUCAGCAAGAUAUACCUUGGUGAAAUUUCAAACAUUAUUC
ensembl:lncRNA